GUUCUGGGUCAAUGAGAAUGAGAAACCCAGUGUUCGGGAGAGAGGAGGCAGCUGAAAUGAGCCUGCAUCUCUACAAAGGAAAAUGCAGCCCAGGUCCUCUGAUGCAAAGAAGUUAGUGUUCUUCGGGACAAGGUGAAAAAUAGGCAGCUGGUGUAGGGAGCUGAGGACUGGACAUCCAGAAUAAAGCUCAUCCACCACCGUUAGGGAUGUCAGUACCUGCCAACGCCACCGGGGACAGUUGGUCCCUCAGUAAGCUGCCAGAGAUCAGAUCCAACCACAGAGGCCCAAACGCAGUUGGAUCCAGGAAUCUGAUCAUUGUUCUUCCUCAACCAACUCUAGCUAUGAUGUCCGUUAACUACGUAAAAAACCAGAACUGCUUUUAAACCCC
rnacentral:antisense_RNA from 1 species